rnacentral:tRNA from 1 species
AAAGGUUUAGUUAAAUCCAUAACAAUAGAUUGUCAUACUAAAAUUAUCAUUAGAUAACCUUUU